rnacentral:rRNA from 1 species
GAUGAACGCUGGCGGCGUGCCUAAUACAUGCAAGUCGAGCGAACAGACGAGGAGCUUGCUCCUCUGACGUUAGCGGCGGACGGGUGAGUAAAACGUGGAUAACCUACCUAUAAGACUGGGAUAACUUCGGGAAACCGGAGCUAAUACCGGAUAAUAUAUUGAACCGCAUGGUUCAAUAGUGAAAGACGGUUUUGCUGUCACUUAUAGAUGGAUCCGCGCCGCAUUAGCUAGUUGGUAAGGUAACGGCUUACCAAGGCAACGAUGCGUAGCCGACCUGAGAGGGUGAUCGGCCACACUGGAACUGAGACACGGUCCAGACUCCUACGGGAGGCAGCAGUAGGGAAUCUUCCGCAAUGGGCGAAAGCCUGACGGAGCAACGCCGCGUGAGUGAUGAAGGUCUUCGGAUCGUAAAACUCUGUUAUUAGGGAAGAACAAAUGUGUAAGUAACUAUGCACGUAUUGACGGUACCUAAUCAGAAAGCCACGGCUAACUACGUG